GACGAACGCUGGCGGCGUGCUUAACACAUGCAAGUCGAACGGAAAGGCCCUGCUUUUGUGGGGUGCUCGAGUGGCGAACGGGUGAGUAGCACGUGAGUAACCUGCCCUUGACUUUGGGAUAACUUCAGGAAACUGGGGCUAAUACUGGAUAGGAGCUCCUGCUGCAUGGUGGGGGUUGGAAAGUUUCGGCGGUUGGGGAUGGACUCGCGGCUUAUCAGCUUGUUGGUGGGGUAGUGGCUUACCAAGGCUUUGACGGGUAGCCGGCCUGAGAGGGUGACCGGGCACAUUGGGACUGAGAUACGGCCCAGACUCUUACGGGAGGCAGAAGUGGGGAUUAUUGCGGAAUGGGCGGCAGCCUGAUGAAGCAACGCCGCGUGCGGGAUGACGGCCUUCGGGUUGUAAACCGCUUUCGCCUGUGACGAGGCGUGAGUGACGGUAAUGGGUAAAGAAGCACCGGCUAACUACGUG
rnacentral:rRNA from 1 species